rnacentral:rRNA from 1 species
UACGGGGGGGGCAAGCGUUGUCCGGAUUUAUUGGGCGUAAAGAGCGUGUAGGCGGCCGCCUAAGUCAGACGUGAAAUCCCCAAGCUUAACUUGGGAACUGCGUCUGAUACUGGGUGGCUCGAGUUCGGGAGAGGAAUGUGGAAUUCCAGGUGUAGCGGUGAAAUGCGUAGAGUAUCUGGGAGGAACACCGGUGGCGAAGGCGGCAUUCUGGACCGAAACUGACGCUGAUGCGCGAAAGCCAGGGGAGCAAAGCGGG